CCACUUCCAUGAUGUGCUAUCAUAAUCUAGAACAUUCUUGUUGCUUGCUGUCCUUUUUAUUUAAUUACUUCCAAAUUACAUUUGUAUAUAAAUAAUUUGACCAAGACAGAAAAAACUGUACAUAAUAGAAAACAUUUCAGAAAAUCAAGCUGAAUGACAGACUAUCAGCACUCAAAGUUUGAAAUGAAAGUUUCAGUAAAGUCAUGAAUGGCAAUAUUGCAAGAACACUAAUAAUUAAUUAAGCUUUUGAUAAAAGCUAAAAAUAGCUCAUAAAGUUUUAGCAUAUAAUGCAAAGGAUAAGAUAAGGUUGUCUAUUUGCUUGAGUGCUUGUGACACAAGAAGAUGAACGUAUUGGAACCCCUUUCUUCUCGCCCCUUUUCCCUUUAUAUGAAACCAAGGCCAAUAUUAGUUUUGUGCAAUAACCAGUUGGUGGAGACGGACACAUAUGGAUGAUAAGGAUAAUAAGAGCUUAACUCUACUUUAGGAGAGUCUAGUACUGAAACAUGAGGAGAAAUAAAUAUUUGUUAAAUUUAAAAAUUAUUU